GACGAACCGUGCGAACGUUAUUCGGAAUCACUGGGCUUAAAGCGCGUGUAGGCGGCCCGGCACGUCGAGCGUUGAAAGCCCCCGGCUCAACCGGGGAAGCGGCCUCGAUACGACCGGGCUGGAGGGGGGUAGGGGGAGCCGGAACUUCCGGUGGAGCGGUGAAAUGCGUUGAGAUCGGAAGGAACGCCCGCGGCGAAAGCGGGCUCCUGGACCCCGCCUGACGCUGAGACGCGAAAGCCAGGGGAGCGAACGGG
rnacentral:rRNA from 1 species